AGAGAGACAAGGAAAUGCUGUCACCGCGGUUAACACGCACGUGGAGGGAAGACCUGGGUUUUAGUCCUGUCUCCAUCAACCUCAAGAAAUGGGACCUCAUGGAAGGGAGGGGAGGCAAUGCCGAGGAUGUGCUCCUGAGCAGGUGCCACAAUUCUUCACCUGUAAGGCUGAUCUAAGAAGAUUCCUAAUUAUCAAUUGAGAGCAGAGAUAUUCCACUUCCAAUUACAUGGCCUGCCUGCUCACUCUUACUUCCUAUUCACACUCUCUUGGAGACCACUUUGUGAUUCUACCAAAUUCUAUAGGAGAGGUGACAACCCCAAAGAGAAGGCUCUAGAAAGAUGACAUUUGGAAAUGUGUACGCUAGUGUCUGCUGGCUCCUCCUGAGCCAUUUUUACUCUGUGAAUGAGAUCAAAGGCCACCUAACUGCCUAAAUCACCACAAAGGGACAAACUGGUAUCUCAGAGCACUCAGCAACAAAAACAAGAAAGCUAAGCCUCUGCACUGCAAUGUGGCAGGGCUUCUGGCUAAGUAUAGCAAGCAAUUCUGAUGUGGAGACAAACAGCAGCAAUGGGAAUGAUAUGCCAAUGAAGGAUUCCAACAGUUGGGUCUGCAAGUGUGCUUGUCCUGUGACACAAACGGCCUAGACAUCUCAGCACUGCUUGGAGCUGCUCAUUGGGGGAGCCUAAGAAACAUCAGCCCUUUCACAACCUCUUGCUCCUGAGCAGAGCUCAUCUCCCAAGAGCACAUCAGCCCGCAGCCCAGUCUGAUGAGAAGCACAGUAUUCCCCUGUGCCAGUGGCAGCCUCAGAGCAUCCUGAAAGAGCGCUUCCUAGACACGCAGUGGAAGCCAUGACUUCCCCUAAGCUGCCGGUGCUGCCUCUGAACUCAUGUGGAGGUUCUUUUUUCAGUGUCCCCAGAGGCAGCAGAAAAAUCCGUUUUCCAUUUUGGAAUCUAUCAAGUAGGACAAAUCUGCCACCUGGGAGCAUCUCCUCAAGGGCAAUCUCUGCUCCCUUUCCUACAUGGCCUGACAAUACCCUCGAGUUAGAAAUGUCCCAUGUUGGCUAGGCACAGUGGCUCAUGCCUGUAAUCCCAGCACUUUGGGAGGCUGAGGUGGGAGGAUUGCUUGAGGCCAGGAGUUUUGAGACCAGCCUGACAUAGAGAGACUAUGCCUCUAUUAUUUUAAAAAAAGAAAUGUCACAUAUUUUUACCCUCUUCACUCAUCUUUCCACCUUGCUCCAAUAGAUUGCUGACAGAAAAGUGAGACCUCCUCCACCCCAAGGUCUCCUAAGAGAAUGCUGCUAGCCAAAAAAAGAUCUGCUGAUAAUUGAGGAAGAGCAUCUUUAAAAAGACACUCAACUACAUUUCAGAAACAUAAAGAUCUAAGUGUUGGCUCUACAAGGGAAGAAAUAAAGAGAAAGAACUUUUUUUCCUCCUA
rnacentral:lncRNA from 1 species